GCACGAGGGGCCCAGCGCGUAGAGCUUCAGCACCAUCUCGGCGGCGAACAGCGACAGCAGCGCCUUGUUCGCGUCCUCGGCGGUCAGACCUGCAGGAAAGAAGGAUCAUGGAUGUUUGGGGGGGCUCAGGAUUUUGGGGGGACACCAGAACUGCCCCCCAGCCCCACUCACGCUUCUGGAAGUCCCCGCGGGCCUUGGCCUUCUCUCGCUCCUUGGAGAAUUCCCUGGGGAGGGGGCACAGGUGUGACCCCAAACACGCCAAGGACACGGCUCCUGCCCCGCUGCUGACCCUCAGCCCCGCUGGUGGCUCCUCACCCGCUCAGCACCCCCAGCACCAGGUUGAGGACGAAGAAGGAGCCGAAGAUGACGAGGCUGACGAAGUAAAUCCAGGGCAGCUCGUGGCCCAUGGCGUCCUGCAUCUGUGGGGGGAGAUUUGGGGUGAUGGGGUCCCCCCAAAUCCCUGCUCAGAGCACAUCAGUCCAGCCCUCCAUGGUGAUGCACUGGAACACGGCAGGCGCGGCCGUGCCCGGAGAAGGCGCAGGGAGAGGGGUCAUCCUCCGACUCCAGGUCUGGGGACAGGCGACAGCGGGCCCUGGUGACAGCUCCCGGCAGGGCGCUGCCUUCUCACUGCCCUCACCCAGCUCCUGUCCCCGCUGAGAGCUCCUGGCCCCGUGGGUAACUCCUGUCCCUGCUGACCACUCCUGUCCCUGCUGACCACUCCAGUCCCCGCUGAAAAUUCCUGUCCCCGCUGAAAAUUCCUGUCCCCAAGCUUCUCUUUCACCUGCACAAACUCAGCUGCUGUCCCCACUCUUGUCCCUCCUGGCUACUCACACCCCUGACGUUGCAGGGGCUCAGGGGUGUGCUGGGACCCCCAGAACCCUGCUGGGGUGUCCUGGG